CAGGGAGACAAUCACUGACAUGGAUGCCUAGGCAAUUUUGAUCCCAGGCCCGUGUCCUGUCAUCUCGAAGGUCGAUCGGUACCUCAACUUGAGACCCAAGGCAGCUUGAGUAAUCAGGCUUGUGCUUGGCGAUCAAGGUUCAGUUCCUAAACGUUGUCUAGGUCACCCCAAAGGGAUGGUGAGCGCAAGUUUGCCAUUACUUUUGAUGUUGCCAGAACCCACGGUUGAUGCAGUUGCGACAGCAAAAGCAUAAACCUUGUGUGCUGGUGGCACUCCUGGGCCAUUAGCUCAGGUGGUUAGAGCGCACCCCUGAUAAGGGUGAGGUCCCUGGUUCAAGUCCAGGAUGGCCCAUUCGUGUUUGGGGGUUUAGCUCAGUUGGUAGAGCGCCUGCUUUGCAAGCAGGAUGUCAGCGGUUCGAGUCCGCUAACCUCCAUAUCAACGCUAACCCACAAGCCCAAGGGAAUCAGGGGAGAAUUUGGUGGUGAUCAAGACGGGGGAGGUCCCCAGCUGAGAGACGACUCCAGCCUUCAGUUUCAACCCGAGUGGGAUCGCCGAUGGCGAUCCAGUUUGGUGUUGUACCUGAAUGCUGGACUCACACCCGUAAGGGUUGAUGUUCAGCGGAACCUUGACAACUGCAUAGGUGAGUCUGGAAAGAAUGCAUCUCAUGGAUGUCCAGUGAAAGCUGGAAAUUCUAUUGAGUUUAGAGCCGAGACUUUCCAGUGUUCUUCCGCCCUCUGCCGAGAGGUGGGAGUUUGAUCUGGAUGUUCCGUCAGGAACGCCGGAGAACGGGCAUCAACACCCCGAGACGCUGGAGAGGAUAUUU
rnacentral:tRNA from 1 species